GACGAACGCUGGCGGCGUGGAUUAGGCAUGCAAGUCGAACGGUAUCAUCCUUUCGGGGGUGAGAGAGUGGCGAACUGGUGAGUAACACGUAGGUUAUCUACCCUCAAGACGGGGACAACCCAGGGAAACUUGGGCUAAUACCGGAUGUGAGCAACUUUUAGUUGUUUGAAAGGUGGCGUAAGCUGUCGCUUGGGGAUGAGCCUGCGUCCUAUUAGUUAGUUGGUGAGGUAACGGCUCACCUAGGCAAUGAUAGGUAGGCGGCCUUAACGGGUGGUCGCCCACACUGGGAUUGAGAUACGGCCCAGACUCCUACGGGAGGCAGCAGUCGAGAAUAGUCUACAAUGGUCGGAAGACUGAUAGUGCGACGCCGCGUGAACGAUGAAUCCCUUCGGGGUGUAAAGUUCUUUUAUAUGUGAGCAGUGCUUCUUAUAUUAACAGUAUGGGGAAGAGAGAUAUUAGCAUAUGAAUAAGCAACGGCUAACUCCGUGCCAGCAGCCGCGGU
rnacentral:rRNA from 1 species